CUGUUUAAUUGUGUAUUUGUGUGUGUUGUGCGUGUGCAUCUGCAUGUGUAUGUGUGUGUUAAAAAAAAACAAAAAACUUACAAGUGGACCAGGUCGCCCUCUGAGGCCAAGUGGACCAGGAGGACCUUUCAAAGACAACUAGAAAAAGAAGCACAACAUGAUUUAAAAAGUGGCACACUGACUAAGGGUGGACUUGACUCCCUCCAAACACAAGGUAGGGCGGAGCCAGUACACCCAUCCCGUUGGGUAAACAGGGGGAUCCCCCUGACUGACCAUCCCCCGGGCCCAGGUUGUUUCCCCAGCCAAAAUGGAGCGUCCAACCACAAAGGGAGUGCAAGGGAGUCGCACCACUAACUUCAAUACCAAAUCCCCCCACCCUCACCCAGCGGAACCCAUCCCUGCCAUCACCCCUGAAAAGCAUGAGGGCCCUAACCAACUACCAGAGCCAGCAACCAAGUCCUAAUCCGGGACCGGCCUCCCACCCCCACGAGGAAGCAAGGUAACAGGGGCCAAGUCCCCAGAGGUUCACUGCGCAGGUCUGGAGCUCAAAGGCAGACAAGAAUCAAGGACCAAAGUUCACCAUUUUAAGAAAAAGACCAUGAUGUUUCCCGGGGGUCCCGGGACGCCAUCAACUCCGUUCAGACCCGGCUGUCCUGGGGGUCCCUAAGAAGUCCACAUACAUUUGACCGGUUCAGAACGAGCUUCGUCACUUUGACAACAAAAGAGAGAACAGCCCUGACCAGUUCUCCAAGGUCUCCUCGAGGUCCCACCAGCCCGGUGAUUCCAGGAGGGCCAGCUGGUCCCUAAACCCAACACAAACGUGACAAAUAUGGAUCCUCACCUUGUGAUUGUCGACGGCCCAUUGAGCAAAAAAGACGUCACUCAUCGUGGCAGCACCGUAGAGCCAUCGUGAUGUCACUGAGGCGUGUAACAUCACACAAGUAAAAUGUCCACAAAUGCCCUUGGACUCUGGACAGCCCUGGUUUAAGGAUUCUGGCUAGCCAACCUCAAAGACGUCUUGGUCCAGCAGACGUGUUCCAAACACGGUGACGCCGUCGGUGCUGACGUGCGGUUGGUGUCCCCGCAACAAUCCUAAAGUCUCAAUCUUGAUGCAGUCCAGGUAGAGAGUGACCAGCUGGCCCUUCACACUGUAGGCCACUCGGUGCCACCUGGUGGAAGGAGGAAGACAGCGCGGUAAAGUCAACAAACAUGGCGGGCUGCGGGGGCAUCGUAUGAAUGGACACAUGUGACACAAACCUGAGGGUCAUACAUGGACAGCAGAAAGACCUGUGAGCCCUUCACAGCUCGAACUGUGGUCAUCAGUGAGAAGUCUUCUGGGAAUGGCGAAUCUAAGCCGAGGAACACGUGAAAACUGAGGUCAUUUAUCAAGAAUGUUCCUGUUCACGACCCACCGGAAAGGUCUGGAUCCUCUCGGCCCAUCCUGCUGGUGCACAGUCCGGCCUCCAGGGACACCCCCUCCAUGUCCUCAGAAAGCUCCAGAACCUUCAAGAUGUCGAUGGGACUGGCUGCCAAAAGACAAGACAAAAAA